rnacentral:lncRNA from 1 species
AUACAUUUCUGUUGAGUUCCCUCUUACAGGUCUCAGUGUUCUUGCCACAUGCAUGGAUCUCCGGUACAGCACUGAGCACUUUGAAUACACCAGAGCAGCGUUUGCAUCUAAUGAUCUGUGGUACUAGCUCUAUGGCUACCCACACUAUAUGGAGACAAUGCUGGGGAACUGGCAUGCUGGUUGUGGCACUGCUAUUUGAGAUGACUAGAUCCCUUAUCCAACACAGAGAUUGGUGGGCAACAGUUAUAAAAGAGUAUUUCAGCAAGUGCAGAAUUAUGGCAGGAAGUUUGGACGGAAGGACAAGCCAACAGUUUCUGGGGUGUGGUGAGAAUAAUUUGUAUACAUGGGAGACUCGGGAGUAGGGAG